CGUCUCCUUCAUUUUCCUUUGUUCUUUCUUGAUGUUGAACCUGUUUGUGGCUGUCAUUAUGGACAACUUUGAAUAUCUGACACGUGACUCCUCCAUCUUGGGCCCUCACCACCUGGAUGAGUUUAUCCGAGUGUGGGCGGAGUAUGACCCAGCCGCAUGUGGCCGUGUCAAGUACCUCGAUAUGUAUGAGAUGCUGCUCCACAUGUCCCCACCUUUAGGUUUGGGAAAGAAAUGCCCUCCACGAAUCGCCUACAAG